GUUAUCAUAACCAGCACAGAGUAUCUGUGAAUCUGUAACCCAAAAGUUGAGCGGGGAAAGGAUUGCCCAUUUUAUGCUAUGUAAGUGCCAGUGUGUAGGGUAGAUGGUAGCCGUUUACUGCGUUGAUGAUAUUGGUCUUACUUAACCAAUCUUUAACCCAUGCUUGAGUGAUAGCUGUAAAUGUAGAUCAAUGGUGUUGUAUAGUAAGGAAACUCCUCGGAGGGUAUGAGGGAGUUGAGACUUGGGGUAGCGGAGGUGUGUGGUGCCAAUAAGUUUAUGGUUAGUCUUUGUUUAAGGGAAGAUUCCUUGUGACAAUACCAAUGUGUUUGUGUUUGGUGCCAUGCUGUAAAUGGUGGAGAUUGGAAGACCCCUCUGCAAAUCUUGGCUAUGAGUGUGUUUACAGCCAAUUGUUCUGUUGUGCUGACUGUAAG